UUACGGCCACAUCACGUUGAAACCCCGGUUCCCGUACGAUCACCGAAGUUAACCAACGUCGAGUCUAGUCAGUACCUAGAUGGUUAACUACUUAGGAAUAAUGAGAGCUGUAAG